CCAGCGUGGCUCCUAGGUUUCCUGCGUAGGUGGAAGAUCUUAGUCAAUUCCGUACGCCUCUAAGUGAAAUCAACAGCUGUGAGAGGCGAAUAAGUGCUCCUGAUGGAAUCCUGGGCACAGGUCACAGCCUUAAAAACUCUGGUAAUACUCUGUCCUCGCUGUGGUUAAUCACAAGCUUCGAUGAGGACUGUCUGUUACUCCAUAAUGAGUGCGUCUGAUGGUUUCCUGACGACUAUUCGCGGCCUUGACCGUUCUGAAGGGUCGAGUGGUUGAUCUGGUCUGGCCUCCUCAAUAUCUUGUCACCGCAGGAUCAGUUCUCAUUUGUUGGCCAGUCCGGCCUCAGUUCCAGAUUUCCACGGGGAGGUGGGUUUAUAGUUCCAGCAUCGGCAACCACACCUUGUCAGAGGAUCCUCAGACCUGCAAGUAUAUUUAAGAUGUCGACUCAACUGGGACUGAAGAGUUUUCAUGGGGACAGUGCAGAGAGAAAUUUAAUCUGUAGUCAAAUUGCAUUGUUCCUAUCCUGGGAGAAGGAGGAAAGCAUGGAGGUCUGUAAUCCACACUGUACCUAAGGUGGUGCCAAAGCGGUGACAGUACAAACAUUUCACUCCACUCAUUCAACAACAAAGUGAGGGCAUCGCCUCAGAUAAGUGCGGAAACCUACAGUUCAUAAGGAGGAGAAAAUGGGACAGAAUUUCAAAUUCAAUAUCUCAGUCACACUUUUACUAAACACAUAUAAGGAACGGAUCACAAAUUUACUGUUCAACAUGCAAAAGAUUUAUUAUCCUGUCAUUGCAGCUAUUGCUGUUCCUGAUCUCUGAAAGUGCCACAGUGAAACUGAGCAGAUAGCCCCAAAAUCCAAGAAAUGCUCUGCUUUCUCUCCACAAAACCAAUGGCAACUUAAUGGUUUUUUGUGUGACCAGUUAACAUGAAAAUGG